rnacentral:rRNA from 1 species
CGAGCGCUGCGGCGGCUUACACAUGCAGUCGAGGGGUAGUUAUCUUCGGAUAAUGAGACCGGCGCACGGGUGCGUAACGCGUAUGCAAUCUACCUUUCACAGAGGGAUAGCCCAGAGAAAUUUGGAUUAAUACCUCAUAGUAUAGUAGUCUCGCAUGAGACCACUAUUAAAGAUUUAUCGGUGAAAGAUGAGCAUGCGUCCCAUUAGUUAGUUGGUAAGGUAACGGCUUACCAAGACUACGAUGGGUAGGGGUCCUGAGAGGGAGAUCCCCCACACUGGUACUGAGACACGGACCAGACUCCUACGGGAGGCAGCAGUGAGGAAUAUUGGACAAUGGGCGCAAGCCUGAUCCAGCCAUGCCGCGUGCAGGAUGACGGUCCUAUGGAUUGUAAACUGCUUUUAUACAGGAAGAAACACUGGUUCGUGAACCAGCUUGACGGUACUGUAAGAAUAAGGAUCGGCUAACUCCGUGCCAGCAGCCGCGGUAAUACGGAGGAUCCAAGCGUUAUCCGGAAUCAUUGGGUUUAAAGGGUCCGUAGGCGGUCAGAUAAGUCAGUGGUGAAAGCCCAUCGCUCAACGGUGGAACGGCCAUUGAUACUGUCUGACUUGAAUUAUUAGGAAGUAACUAGAAUAUGUAGUGUAGCGGUGAAAUGCUUAGAGAUUACAUGGAAUACCAAUUGCGAAGGCAGGUUACUACUAAUAUAUUGACGCUGAUGGGACGAAAGCGUGGGUAGCGCACAGGAUUAGAUACCCUGGGUAGUCCACGCCGUAAACGAUGGAUACUAGCUGUUGGGAGCAAUCUCAGUGCCUAAGCGAAAGUGAUAAGUAUCCAA